GGGAGAACAGGCACAGAGAGAUGCAUGCAGAGUCAAUUUACCACAUUUUUCUUAAGAUAUUUCAUCUUCACAUUACAUUGUUUCAUUUGGAACCAGUAAAAAAAUUCUUUUUUUCCUAUAUUUAAUCACUCUGAAAAAGAAAAGAGUGGCAAAAUUCUUCUAAUCAGAAUCUUAUCUGUACGUUGUUUCAGAGAGAAAUCAAGAAAAAUGAGCUUCUUUACUCGUUCUUAUAUUCUACGGCUGCAGGAUGUGGGCUGCUACGAGACUACAGAAAUAUGCUUACAACACAGCUGUUAAACUCCAAAAGCACUUCGUGACUGCACUUAUCCCACAUUCCAGGCUUCAACUCUGUUCGAGCUUCCUACUGUGUCUGCAACAGAAAAGGUACCAUCUUCAAGAAUUAUGACAGUGCCAAACAUAAGUCAGACUGCUCCUUCACAAACAGGACACAUCAUUUGCUUCAGCAAAUUUUAUCAAAGCUAUAAAUCUGUUCUCUGGUUUUGAACACAAGCAAAGUUCCUUAAAAGUACAAGAUAAUUCACUGCACCGUUUCCCAUUCUGCACACUCUCUCUUCACUGUUCCUGUAUUCCGCUGAUUUUUAGACCAACGGCAGCUGAUUGAUCCUUGAACUAAACUCAACAGCAGUUCAAGUGCUAACUGGCUUCUAAAUUGGCAGCAGGAAAUGUAUUUGCAAGUAAAAAAGAAAUAUAAAUGUUUGCUUUGUCCUCAUCUUCACUCUUUCUGACAUUAAGCUACUUUCAAUGACCUGAACACUUGUAUGAGAGCAAGUCAGUCUUCCCUUAGUGCUGACUGCCAACUGACAAGUGACAAUGGAUUGUUGGCACUUGAAAGUUUCCCAAGUUCUGAAGCCCCUCAUCCACCUUAUGGUAGAACAGAUUGCAGUGUUCAGUGGACUAAUAUGAGUAAUACAAAAGGUGUCUUUAGCACAUAAGCCAAAGACUUCUUAUGGUAAUGAACCAUUUUCAUAAUUUCCAGGCUCCGUUGUAAACUUCAGUCAUCAGACUUGAGGAGACAGCAGUUACCAGGGAGAUGGGUGGAAGGAGUAGCAGCAAUAUUUCUAGCACACCCCAUUUCAUAAAAUGGCACCUGCAUAUAGCUGUAAUUGCACUGAUUCUGUCCUAUGAGCUGCACGUAGACUGCACUCUAAAAAGGGUGUGCCAUGGUUUGGGCUGAUGACUUCUGAGAAGGCAGCAAGAGCACAGUUCCACUGCUAGGUGAAGUAAAACCUGCCCUCCUGAGUUUUACAAUCCCCCACUGUUAUCUCUGUGGUAUAAAUAAUGUUGAAAUACUGUUGUGUCUUCUAUUACUUGAUUGAUUCUUAUGGACUAAAAUUAAGACAUGCUAAGUGAUGUUAGCUCAUCUUGCUAUUUUUAAUUAAAUAAUCUGAAACCAGAGAUAGAUCGGACUACUGCUACACAAAACUGCUUAUUCUGAAUACUGGAUUUUAAGCAAAGUAGCAUUCAACCAACAUGCAUUGUUAGCCUUUAUGAAAACAAACAUCACUGCAUCUAAUUACCAGUUUAUGAAAUAAAAAAGUUUGUGAAAGACAUUAGGUGUGCUUUACUGCACCUCUCAGAUAUCACAAAGACUAUAAGGUCAUAUCAGCUUUUUAUAUACUCAGCUAUCACACUGGCUAUGAAGUGAUAAGUUGUCCAACUCUCCCUGUUACCAAAGCCCAGCAGGGUGACCAUGGCACAAGUGACAGACAUCAGAAGUGCAGACCUCCUCAGGGGACGUGCCAGGCUGGUGCACAGGGAGUGUGCACACAGAAAUCACUGAAUCACACUGAACAUUGUCAGGCUACAUAAUGAUCUCCCAUUAAAAACCAGUGCAAGAAGAGCUAGACUUUUCUGUAAUUAUGUAAAUCAUUCCAACCCAAAAUAGCUCCCUGUAAAAAGCCCCUAGAAAUGAAGUUUGUUUUAUAUUAUUCUUACGAAGAGCUACUCAGUAUCUGGUUACUCCAUCCACAUGCAAGAUACUCCAUCGCUAGUAGAUAGACACAGAUACCACACCAACAAAUCCAUAGUCCUUCAGGUCAGUCAUUUUCAGGAAGAAAGUGCUGAAUUACAUGAAGCACAUGACACUAUUUGUAAAACUCAGACAGAAGAGCUUUGCACACACUCAUUUUCAUAUACUGCCACCAGAACAAGCUGCUUCUGUUUCACAAUUCUGUCACUGCUGCACAUGGUAGUUGAACAGGAAGACUUUUUUUUCCUCUUAUUAAUUCCCUGAUUCAUUUUAUUUCAUGAAGCUAGCUGGGUAACUUUUUUCUAUGCUUUCAGUGCAUAUCAAAAUAUUACAUCCUCCCUUAAAUGAGAAGAUUUUAGAUAAUCUGGGGAUUCCAGGUUAGUAACUACACACUAACACGUAACAAACUGUAAGUGCAAACUAAACUAUGUUCCGUACUGCAAACCUACAGUUAACUGCAGCAAAGCAUUACCUUCAAGUGCUUCACUGCUGAUUGCUAAUUUUAAGGCCCUCUUUGAUUUUAAAUGUAAUUUGGUCCUUUAUGCAAAUUAACAUUAUUAAUUUUAUGGAAAACUGCUAUUAGAAAGGGACGCUCCUUCCAAAAAGUAUUAACUACUUUAUGCAAGUUUUGCAGUAAUACUAACCACAGAUGACAGACUUAAUGAUCACUGAGAAGAAUCCGCAGGACUCCCCUUCCCUGCCAUCUGUUCACUGUACCUGCAAGCUGCUACUUAUUGAAUGAGGAGCACACCGUGCCACGUGUUUCUAAAACAGAGGUGGGAAAAGCUGCAUUACUGUGGUAGUUCGAUACUUCAGAGCAGUGAGAGCAUGGUGGGGCGGAAGCAGUACCUCUCCAAGCUGGCAUUCACAUACUCCUUGUCACUCUCUUUGCAAAAUUAAAAUUUGAUAUGAAAUUGAUCAUUUCAGUUAAACCAGCAUGGUAAAGCGGAGGGUGUUCUCACACCACAGAUAACACCUACCCACAUCCUGUUCAGAAGUUAUGAGGACAAAAUUCAGAAGGCAGCUCACUAAGGUACAUACCCACAC